rnacentral:rRNA from 1 species
CUACGUGCCAGCAGCCGCGGUAAUACGUAGGGGGCAAGCGUUAUCCGGAUUUACUGGGUGUAAAGGGAGCGUAGACGGAUAGGCAAGUCUGGUGUGAAAGCCCGGGGCUCAACCCCGGGACUGCUUUGGAAACUGUUUAUCUAGAGUGCUGGAGAGGUAAGUGGAAUUCCUAGUGUAGCGGUGAAAUGCGUAGAUAUUAGGAGGAACACCAGUGGCGAAGGCGGCUUACUGGACAGUAACUGACGUUGAGGCUCGAAAGCGUGGGGAGCA